rnacentral:rRNA from 1 species
GGCGACGGGUGAGUAACACGAUAAGAAUUUGCCUCUANGAGGGGGAUAACAACUGGAGAGGGCUAAUACCCCAUAUGCUUUCGAGUGAAAUGGAUUUCCGCCUAGAGAGAAGCUUGCGGCUGAUAAGCUUGUUGGUGAGGUAAUGGCUCACCAAGGCGACGAUCAGUAUCUGGUUUGAGAGGACGAUCAGACACACUGGAACUGAGACACGGUCCAGACUCCUACGGGAGGCAGCAGUGGGGAAUUUUCCGCAAUGGGCGAAAGCCUGACGGAGCAAUACCGCGUGAGGGAUGACGGCCUAUGGGUUGUAAACCUCUUUUUUCAGGGAGGAAUCAAUGACGUGUACCUGAAGAAUAAGCAUCGGCUAACUCCGUGCCAGCAGCCGCGGUAAGACGGAGGAUGCAAGUGUUAUCCGGAAUCACUGGGCGUAAAGCGUCU